CGAAGGGGGCUAGCGUUGUUCGGAAUUACUGGGCGUAAAGCGCGCGUAGGCGGUUUUGCAAGCCAGAGGUGAAAUGCCUGAGCUCAACUUAGGAAUUGCCUUUGGGACUGCGAGGCUUUGAGGACUGGAGAGGUGAGUGGAAUUCCCAGUGUAGAGGUGAAAUUCGUAGAUAUUGGGAAGAACACCAGUGGCGAAGGCGGCUCACUGGCCAGUUUCUGACGCUGCAGCGCGAAAGCGUGGGGAUCAAACAGGAUUAGAUACCCUGGUAGUCCACGCUGUAAACGAUGAGUGCUAGGCGUCGGCACGCUUGCGUGUCGGUGCCGCAGCUAACGCGUGAAGCACUCCGCCUGGGGAGUACGGUCGCAAGAUUA
rnacentral:rRNA from 1 species